rnacentral:rRNA from 1 species
AGCAGCCGCGGUAAUUCCAGCUCCAAUAGCGUAUAUUAAAGUUGUUGCAGUUAAAAAGCUCGUAGUUGAAUUUCGGGGUUAGUAGGUUGGUCAUGCCUCUGGUAUGUACUGGUCUCACUGAUUCCUCCUUCCUGAUGAACCUCAAUGCCAUUAAUUUGGUGUUUUGGGGAAUUUGGACUGUUACUUUGAAAAAAUUAGAGUGUUUAAAGCAAGCUAACGCUUGAAUACAUUACCAUGGAAUAAUGAAAUAGGACGUUCGAUCCUAUUUUGUUGGUUUCUAGGAUUGACGUAAUGAUUAAUAGGGAUAGUUGGGGGCAUUAGUAUUCAAUUGUCAGAGGUGAAAUUCUUGGAUUUAUUGAAGACUAACUACUGCGAAAGCAUUUGCCAAGGAUGUUUUCAUUAAUCAAGAACGAAAGUUAGGGGAUCGAAGACGAUCAGAUACCGUCGUAGUCUUAACCAUAAACUAUGCCGACUAGGGAUCGGAUGAUGUUAAUUUUUUAAUGACUCA